rnacentral:rRNA from 1 species
GACGAACGCUGGCGGCGUGCUUAACACAUGCAAGUCGAACGGAAAGGCCCUGCUUUUGUGGGGUGCUCGAGUGGCGAACGGGUGAGUAACACGUGAGUAACCUGCCCUUGACUUUGGGAUAACUUCAGGAAGCUGGGGCUAAUACCGGAUAGGAGCUCCUGCUGCAUGGUGGGGGUUGGAAAGUUUCGGCGGUUGGGGAUGGACUCGCGGCUUAUCAGCUUGUUGGUGGGGUAGUGGCUUACCAAGGCUUUGACGGGUAGCCGGCCUGAGAGGGUGACCGGCCACAUUGGGACUGAGAUACGGACCAGACGCCUACGGGAGGCAGCAGUGGGGAAUAUUGCACAAUGGGCGGAAGCCUGAUGCAGCAACGCCGCGUGCGGGAUGACGGCCUUCGGGUUGUAAACCGCUUUCGCCUGUGACGAAGCGUGAGUGACGGUAAUGGGUAAAGAAGCACCGGCUAACUACGUG